rnacentral:lncRNA from 1 species
CAUUUGAAGAUCAUGACAAACUAUAUAGCAUCCUAACAUUUGAAAUUAAAUAAAUAAAAUAUCUAAAACUCUAAUAGAAAUAAUAAGUAAUAAUAUAAAAUACAACAAAAAUAUAUAGUUUACAAAAAAAAUCUCACAGUACUACAAAUAAAAAAAUACUAAAUCCUAUAAAGAUGUCGUGGUACCCGUGGCUGUUGAGAAGGUCCUC